UUUGAAAGUAAUCAAGCACCUGCAAUGCCAAGCUUCUGAGCCUUUGGUUCAGUGGUCACAAUCAUUACAGAUAGUAGAUACUCAAUGUGUUCCAACAGAGAGGACUAUUGAGCCAGUGGUUUAGUAUAAUGAGAUUUGACUGCUUUAUUUCCAAGUUUGCGAUCAACAAAACCAAUGGAAAGUAGAAAACUUAUGUACGUCCUUAGACAAAUCGGUGCAAAAAUCAAAGAUGAUAUAUUUUUAACAAUGGAAUACAUAUAAUAUCCUGAUUAAAGUUAGCAAAUAUGAACAUCCAGUCAUUUCAAUGAAAUUGAAACUAGAAAGAGCCACAUCAAGUACAUAAGAAAUACAAUCAGAACCAAUAAACAAAUAAUUGCUAACCUGGUUUAUUCAAAUAAGCAGCAAAAUUAGAUUUUUUGAACAGAACGCACAAGUAAACAAACAUUGUAUAAUUUAAGCUUCAUAUCAUGAUUGGUCCACACAAAGAUUGUAUACAUUCAUGUCAUCUUCUGAUCCUCACAAAUCACAACCCAAAGAAUUAAUACAGAAAAAACCCCAGUAUCUCCCAUCACAAUCGCCCAUUAUAUCUUAUCUUUUCUCGAUCACAAACAAUAAAAAAAAAAAAAAGAAAUUUCAAGUCCCUUUUAAUAAUACGCGUAAACCACAGGGUACUAAAGUGUAUUUUUUCCUAUAUUAUUUUAUAAAAAUUAAAAGUGUUAAAUCAUGUCAAAGCAUAUCAAAUGAGUCAUAUUGGGUCGUUCAAAUCAUAGUAAAUGGGUUGAGUUAUGUAAAAUUGUGUUAAAUAAGUUAAUUUGUGUCGAAUUGUAUUAAAGGGGUCAUGUUGUAUCGAAUUAAGAUUUAAUAUUUAUCGUAUCAUGUCCUAUAACUCAUAUAAUAAAAGGAUUAUGUUCGUAUUCAGAUUUUUGAUAUAAUUCAUUAAUCAUGUAGUGUUCAUGUUGACCCUAAUCAUGUUUUGGUUGUGUUCGUGUUGCCAACCCGAAUUUCCACCCCUAUUCUAGGGCUUGAAUAAAAUUUAGAAAUGAGCUUGAAUAAAAUUAAGAAAUGAACUAACUAAUGAGUAUAAAUACAUCAGGUAAGGCAUUAAAUCCUUAUUGAAUAUUCAUUAUUAAAAGAUCAUCUUCAAUAACUAGUGCAGAACAACAUAAAGAUAAAGAUCUAACCUUAUCUCCUACAAAAAGUCAUAAGUAUAGCACAAAACAAAUGUUUGUACAUUAAAUUUGCUAAAACAACAACAACAAAGUCAAAGUUGACUCACCUUUUUAUGAGAAAGUGUGAAAUGGCACAAAAUGAACUCCCGUUAAUUUUUCUUUUUUAACUUAUUACAAAAUGAAGUCGAGCUAAAUUUUCAUUGAGAAAGAAUUUUGAGACUUAGGUUGAAGAAGGCUAAGAAUGACAUGAGAAAUGGUGUCUGGAAAAGUGGGAUUAUGGGUAACAAAAGCUAGGAAAAAAAAAAAAAGUAGCCCCUUUUGUAUUGGUAUAUGGUAAUGGCGAUUACCCAUGCAAUUUUUUAUAACCUUUAAGGCAUGAUGAUAACAAGACAUUAAAAAUCCAUUAAAUAAUGGCUGUUAAAAGUGAGGCUAUUUGAAACCAUGCCAAGGAAGGUCUUUAUGAAUGCACCUAGUUUUGCGAUUGAGCUUUCUAAUGCACGUAGUUUUCUGCAAAGAGAAAAAUGGGGCUACCGUACACAAAAUCUAUUGUAAAAUUUGCAAAAUGUGCUAAACUAAUAGACUUUAGAUAUUAAAGAAGUUCACUGAAAUUAAGAAAUGCAGCUAAACGAUGGGCAUAAAUGCAUCAAAUAUGCAAAUUGAAUCCUCCAUAUUUAUAUUCAUGAGGCAUCAACUUAAGUAGUAACUAGCAAUUGCUACACAAAAAAUUAUAGAUCUAGUGGACUAAUGCAUGAUGUUAAUAGAUCCAUCAUAAAAAUAGUAUAAACCUGAACUUUUCAACAACAAAUUUGUAAAUGCAAGAAAGGAAGCCUGAAAAAGAUAAAAUUAAUGCACCUCACAUUGUUAUAGAACUAGCACAUUGCAAGCUGAAGCUGUGUAUGACUAUGAGAUACCUUACGCCUAAAAUUCAAGUGGUUAUUAAACUAUUGUUUUAAUAAGCUGCUUUUAUAUUUUCUCAUUAUCUAUAUUGAAAUUUGUGCAUGCCUGUAUUUCUCUGUUUUAUUUGUAGAUAUGUUCUCGAAUCAGAGAAUAUGAAGAAAUUCUUUGAUUAUAUACAACUUCCAAAUUUUGACAUUGCAGCAGAUGCUGCUGCUACUUUUAAGGAACUCCUGACAAGACAUAAAUCUACGGUAGCAGAAUUUCUUUCAAAGAAUUAUGAAUGGUUCUUUGCAGAGUAUAAUUCAAAGCUACUAGAAUCUGUCAAUUACAUUACCAGGCGACAAGCUAUCAAGCUGUUGGGAGAUAUAUUACUGGAUCGCUCAAAUUCAGUUGUGAUGACACGAUAUGUGAGCUCAAGGGAUAACUUGAGGAUUCUUAUGAAUCUUCUCAGAGAAUCCAGUAAAAGCAUCCAGACAGAAGCAUUUCAUGUUUUCAAGCUCUUUGUUGCAAAUCAAAAUAAACCUCCCGACAUUAUUACCAUACUCGUAGCAAAUAGAAGCAAACUUUUGCGUUUGUUUGCUGAUUUCAAAACUGAUAAAGAGGAUGAACAAUUUGAAGCGGACAAAGCGCAAGUUGUGAAAGAAAUAGCUGCCCUUGAACCUAGAGACCGGACAUGAGUGAGUUUGGUUCACUUGUUGUAAUAUCAUUUUAUUUGCCUUGUUAAAUUUCAUCUGUGAAUUAUAUAUAAAUAGCCUAAUCAUGAUACCAGUAAUCAAUAUCCGAGAAAAACCUUUAUUUUUUCCAUGUACUUUUCCUCUCGGUCACACCUUUGGGCAGUUUCUGAUUCCAUCAUUCUGUAUUUUAAUAAGAAGACGAGAGUGUUAAUGCUAUGUUUGGCCAUUGGUGAUACUCCAAUUGUUUGUCAAAAUACACUAGUAGAACUUGGUCUGUGUUAUGGAUUUUCUUUGCCCUGCAAAAAACUAUGUAAAUUGAGAAAAAUUAUAAAUAAAUGACAAA
rnacentral:misc_RNA from 1 species